CUAUAGGCUUUAAUAAUGAUUCGUUUCACUGCACUCACAGAACUCCUCCUCCUCGCUAAAUAUCAGCGCGGUUGUUCUGUGGGCGAAAACGAAUAAAGAUUAAAGCCUGAAAGAACUGAAAAACCCGCGCCGAACAGCGCGGGUUUUUUU
rfam:Bacteria symbiont BFo2 of Frankliniella occidentalis strain BFo2 contig605, whole genome shotgun sequence.